AUUGAACGCUGGCGGCAGGCCUAACACAUGCAAGUCGGACGGUAGCACAGAGAGCUUGCUCUCGGGUGACGAGUGGCGGACGGGUGAGUAAUGUCUGGGGAUCUGCCCGAUAGAGGGGGAUAACCACUGGAAACGGUGGCUAAUACCGCAUAACGUCGCAAGACCAAAGAGGGGGACCUUCGGGCCUCUCACUAUCGGAUGAACCCAGAUGGGAUUAGCUAGUAGGCGGGGUAACGGCCCACCUAGGCGACGAUCCCUAGCUGGUCUGAGAGGAUGACCAGCCACACUGGAACUGAGACACGGUCCAGACUCCUACGGGAGGCAGCAGUGGGGAAUAUUGCACAAUGGGCGCAAGCCUGAUGCAGCCAUGCCGCGUGUAUGAAGAAGGCCUUCGGGUUGUAAAGUACUUUCAGCGGGGAGGAAGGCGAUAAGGUUAAUAACCUUGUCGAUUGACGUUACCCGCAGAAGAAGCACCGGCUAACUCCGUGCCAGCAGCCGCGGUAA
rnacentral:rRNA from 1 species